rnacentral:rRNA from 1 species
UACGGGGGGGGCAAGCGUUGUUCGGAAUUACUGGGCGUAAAGGGUUCGUAGGUGGCUUGCUAAGUCAGACGUGAAAUCCCUCAGCUUAACUGGGGAACUGCGUCUGAUACUGGAUGGCUUGAGUUUGGGAGAGGGAUGCGGAAUUCCAGGUGUAGCGGUGAAAUGCGUAGAUAUCUGGAGGAACACCGGUGGCGAAGGCGGCAUCCUGGACCAACACUGACGCUGAACAGCGAAAGCCAGGGGAGCAAACGGG